rnacentral:rRNA from 1 species
UACGCAGGGUGCUAGCGUUGUUCGGAAUUACUGGGCGUAAAGCGUGCGCAGGCGGCUUCUCAAGUCAGGGGUGAAAGCCCAGAGCUCAACUCUGGAAUUGCCUUUGAGACUGAGUGGCUUGAGUACGAGAGAGGUGAGUGGAAUUCCCAGUGUAGAGGUGAAAUUCGUAGAUAUUGGGAAGAAUACCGGUGGCGAAGGCGGCCAUCUGGGACUCAACUGACGCUGAGGCGCGAAAGCGUGGGGAUCAAACAGG